UACGGAGGGGGCAAGCGUUGUUCGGAUUUACUGGGCGUAAAGGGCGCGUAGGCGGUCUUGUAAGUUACUUGUGAAAUCUCCGAGCUUAACUCGGAACUGCCAAGUGAUACUGCGAGACUAGAGUGCAGAAGGGGCAACUGGAAUUCUUGGUGUAGCGGUGAAAUGCGUAGAUAUCAAGAGGAACACCUGAGGCGAAGGCGGGUUGCUGGGCUGACACUGACGCUGAGGCGCGAAAGCUAGGGGAGCAAACAGG
rnacentral:rRNA from 1 species